rnacentral:rRNA from 1 species
AGCAGCCGCGGUAAUUCCAGCUCCAAUAGCGUAUAUUAAAGUUGUUGCAGUUAAAAGCUCGUAGUUGAAUUUCGGGAUCAAUAUGUCAGUCGUGCCUCAGUACGUACUGGCGUCAUUGGUUUCUCCCUUCUGAAGAACCACGAUGUCAUUAAUUUGGUGUCGUGGGGAAUCAGGACUGUUACUUUGAAAAAAUUAGAGUGUUUAAAGCAGGCUAACGCUUGAAUACAUUAGCAUGGAAUAAUGAAAUAGGACGUUCGAUCCUAUUUUGUUGGUUUCUAGGAUUGACGUAAUGAUUAAUAGGGAUAGUUGGGGGCAUUAGUAUUCAAUUGUCAGAGGUGAAAUUCUUGGAUUUAUUGAAGACUAACUACUGCGAAAGCAUUUGCCAAGGAUGUUUUCAUUAAUCAAGACGAAAGUUAGGGGAUCGAAGACGAUCAGAUACCGUCGUAGUCUUAACCAUAAACUAUGCCGACUAGGGAUCGGAUGAUGUAAUUUUUAAUGA